CGCCUUUGGACAAAGAAUCAAAGGUUCUGCCUGCCCGGUGAUGAAAAAAAAAUUUAACGGCUGCGGUAUUUUGACCGUGCGAAGGUAGCAUAAUCAUUAGCCUGUUAAUUUCAGGCUGGAAUCAAUGGCAAGACGAAGAAAAUACUGUCUCUUUGUAAUACAUGUGAAAUUUUCCUUUCAGUGAAGAGACUGAAAUAAAUAAGCGGGACGAGAAGACCCUGUUGAGCUUUAAAUUUUAUGGUAGAAAGGGAAUAUGCUGUAAAAUUUUAGUUGGGGCAACUAUUUUUUCAAUUAAACAUGAUAGAAAAGAAAAGAAUUAAUUCUUUAUAGCUGGAGACCCAGAUGAUUUCUGGUAAGUAGAAAAAGUUACCGCAGGGAUAACAGCGUUAUUCCUUUUGAGAGUACUUAUUAACAAAGGAGUUUGCGACCUCGAUGUUGGAUCAAGUUUACCUGAAGGUGCAGCAGCUUUUUAAGGUUGGUUUGUUCAACCAUGAAAAACUU
rnacentral:rRNA from 1 species